rnacentral:rRNA from 1 species
CACCGGCGGCCCGAGUGGUGGCCACUAUUAUUGGGUCUAAAGGGUCCGUAGCCGGUUUGAUCAGUCUUCUGGGAAAUCUGACAGCUCAACUGUUAGGCUUCUGGGGGAUACUGUCAGACUUGGGACCGGGAGAGGUAAGAGGUACUACAGGGGUAGGAGUGAAAUCUUGUAAUCCCUGUGGGACCACCAGUGGCGAAGGCGUCUUACCAGAACGGGUCCGACGGUGAGGGACGAAAGCUGGGGGCACGAA